ACGCUCGACACCUACGGGAGGGCAGCAGUGGGGAAUAUUGCACAAUGGGGGAAACCCUGAUGCAGCGACGCCGCGUGGAGGAAGAAGGUCUUCGGAUUGUAAACUCCUGUUGUUGGGGAAAAAGAGGAUGGUACCCAACAAGGAAGUGACGGCUAACUACGUGCCGGCAGCCGCGGUAAUCUGAGCGGGCUGGCAAGGC
rnacentral:rRNA from 1 species